rnacentral:tRNA from 1 species
CCUUUGAUAGCUCAGCUGGUAGAGCAGAGGACUGUAGAUCCUUAGGUCGCUGGUUCGAUUCCAGCUCAAAGGA